CAGUUCGGAUUGUAGUCUGCAACCCGACUACAUGAAGCUGGAAUCGCUAGUAAUCGCGGAUCAGAAUGCCGCGGUGAAUACGUUCCCGGGUCUUGUACACACCGCCCGUCACACCAUGGGAGUCGGAAAUGCCCGAAGUCGGUGACCGAACCGAAAGGAAGGAGCCGCCGAAGGCAGGUCUGGUGACUGGGGUGAAGUCGUAACAAGGUACC
rnacentral:rRNA from 1 species